rnacentral:rRNA from 1 species
CGCUAUUUAGGUUAGAGUUUGAUCAUGGCUCAGAGUGAACGCUGGCGGCAGGCCUAACACAUGCAAGUCGAGCGGCAGCACGGGUAGCAAUACCUGGUGGCGAGCGGCGGACGGGUGAGGAAUACAUCGGUAUCUGCCUCGUCGUGGGGGAUAACGUAGGGAAACUUACGCUAAUACCGCAUACGACCGAGAGGUGAAAGCGGGGGAUCGAAAGACCUCGCGCGAUGAGAUGAGCCGAUGUCGGAUUAGCUAGUUGGCGGGGUAAGAGCCCACCAAGGCGACGAUCCGUAGCUGGUCUGAGAGGAUGAUCAGCCACACUGGAACUGAGACACGGUCCAGACUCCUACGGGAGGCAGCAGUGGGGAAUAUUGGACAAUGGGCGCAAGCCUGAUCCAGCCAUGCCGCGUGGGUGAAGAAGGCCUUCGGGUUGUAAAGCCCUUUUGUUCGGGACGAAAUCGUACGGGCGAAUAUCCCGUGCGGAUGACGGUACCGGAAGAAUAAGCACCGGCUAACUUCGUGCCAGCAGCCGCGGUAAUCGCC